GACGAAGGGGGCUAGCGUUGUUCGGAAUUAUUGGGCGUAAAGGGCUCGUAGGCGGUCUGUUGCGUCGGGAGUGAAAACUUACAGCUUAACUGUGAGCGUGCUUUCGAUACGGGCAGACUUGAGGCAUUCAGGGGAGAACGGAAUUCCUGGUGUAGCGGUGAAAUGCGCAGAUAUCGGGAAGAACACCCGUGGCGAAGGCGGCUCUCUGGGACGGUACUGACGCUGAGGCGCGAAAGCGUGGGGAGCAAACAGG
rnacentral:rRNA from 1 species